UGGGGAAUUUUGGACAAUGGGCGCAAGCCUGAUCCAGCAAUGCCGCGUGAGUGAAGAAGGCCUUCGGGUUGUAAAGCUCUUUUGUCAGGGAAGAAACGGCUGAGGCUAAUACCUUCGGCUAAUGACGGUACCUGAAGAAUAAGCACCGGCUAACUACGUGCCAGCAGCCGCGGUAAUACGUAGGGUGCAAGCGUUAAUCGGAAUUACUGGGCGUAAAGCGUGCGCAGGCGGUUUUGUAAGUCUGACGUGAAAGCCCCGGGCUCAACCUGGGAAUUGCGUUGGAGACUGCAAGGCUUGAAUCUGGCAGAGGGGGGUAGAAUUCCACGUGUAGCAGUGAAAUGCGUAGAGAUGUGGAGGAACACCGAUGGCGAAGGCAGCCCCCUGGGUCAAGAUUGACGCUCAUGCACGAAAGCGUGGGGAGCAAACAGG
rnacentral:rRNA from 1 species